rnacentral:rRNA from 1 species
CCUUAACUCUGGGAUAAGCCUGGGAAACUGGGUCUAAUACCGGAUAGGAGCGUCCACCGCAUGGUGGGUGUUGGAAAGAUUUAUCGGUUUUGGAUGGACUCGCGGCCUAUCAGCUUGUUGGUGAGGUAAUGGCUCACCAAGGCGACGACGGGUAGCCGGCCUGAGAGGGUGACCGGCCACACUGGGACUGAGACACGGCCCAGACUCCUACGGGAGGCAGCAGUGGGGAAUAUUGCACAAUGGGCGCAAGCCUGAUGCAGCGACGCCGCGUGAGGGAUGACGGCCUUCGGGUUGUAAACCUCUUUCAGUAGGGAAGAAGCGAAAGUGACGGUACCUGCAGAAGAAGCACCGGCUAACUACGUGCCAGCAGCCGCGGUAAUACGUAGGGUGCGAGCGUUAUCCGGAAUUAUUGGGCGUAAAGAGCUCGUAGGCGGUUUGUCGCGUCUGUCGUGAAAGUCCGGGGCUUAACCCCGGAUCUGCGGUGGGUACGGGCAGACUAGAGUGCAGUAGGGGAGACUGGAAUUCCUGGUCCCGCACAAGCGGCGGAGCAUGCGGAUUAAUUCGAUGCAACGCGAAGAACCUUACCAAGGCUUGACAUGUUCUCGAUCGCCGUAGAGAUACGGUUUCCCCUUUGGGGCGGGUUCACAGGUGGUGCAUGGUUGUCGUCAGCUCGUGUCGUGAGAUGUUGGGUUAAGUCCCGCAACGAGCGCAACCCUCGUUCCAUGUUGCCAGCACGUCGUGGUGGGGACUCAUGGGAGACUGCCGGGGUCAACUCGGAGGAAGGUGAGGACGACGUCAAAUCAUCAUGCCCCUUAUGUCUUGGGCUUCACGCAUGCUACAAUGGCCGGUACAAUGGGUUGCGAUACUGUGAGGUGGAGCUAAUCCCAAAAAGCCGGUCUCAGUUCGGAUUGGGGUCUGCAACUCGACCCCAUGAAGUCGGAGUCGCUAGUAAUCGCAGAU